rnacentral:rRNA from 1 species
UACGUAGGGUGCAAGCGUUGUCCGGAAUUAUUGGGCGUAAAGAGCUCGUAGGCGGUCUGUCACGUCGGGUGUGAAAGCCCGGGGCUCAACCCCGGGUCUGCACUCGAUACGGGCAGACUUGAGUUCGGCAGGGGAGACUGGAAUUCCUGGUGUAGCGGUGAAAUGCGCAGAUAUCAGGAGGAACACCGGUGGCGAAGGCGGGUCUCUGGGCCGAUACUGACGCUGAGGAGCGAAAGCGUGGGGAGCAAACAGG